rnacentral:rRNA from 1 species
CAGCCGCCACGGUAAUACGUAGGGUGCGAGCGUUAAUCGGAAUUACUGGGCGUAAAGCGUGCGCAGGCGGUUAUAUAAGACAGAUGUGAAAUCCCCGGGCUCAACCUGGGACCUGCAUUUGUGACUGUAUAGCUAGAGUACGGUAGAGGGGGAUGGAAUUCCGCGUGUAGCAGUGAAAUGCGUAGAUAUGCGGAGGAACACCGAUGGCGAAGGCAAUCCCCUGGACCUGUACUGACGCUCAUGCACGAAAGCGUGGGGAGCAAACAGGAUUAGAUACCCCGGUAGUCCCUGUCUCUUAUAU